rfam:Gossypium hirsutum cultivar TM-1 unplaced genomic scaffold scaffold280.1, whole genome shotgun sequence
UGUUUAAAAUUUCAUCCAUUCCUACUAUUAAAAAUUAACGUAGUUGGCGAAAUAACCAUACAGUUAAUGUGGCAUGACAUUUGUACCUCAUGUUGGUGUAUAGACAUCAAUUUUUAACAGUAAAAAUGGAUGAAAUUUUUAAUA